GGCGAGCGGGCUGCGAAACGGCCAACGCCCGGCGGUGUCCCUCGGGGCCGGGAGCUGGGCUGCGGGAGAAGAGACCUCUCCACGCCGGAGCGUCCUCGCCCGAAGGCGGGGGCCUAAACGCCUGCCUCGCAGGGCUGCGUGCAGCGUAAAGCCCGGCCGCGUCAGGAGUCUGCAGGGGUGAGGUGACAGCAAGAGCCCUGCAGAGGUGAGGUGACGGAGCGGUCACCACCGCCGCAUCCCAGAGGCUAUGACGGCCUCACUUUCCAGGUCCAUGCUCUGCUCAUCCAAGCCUGGCAACGUUCAGAAAACACAUUUCUUCCCACUGCCAUCUAUUUUUAUAGUCCCCAUUAGCAAAAAAGAGGCAUCAGAGUGAUUAAGCCGGUGUUACUAUUAACAGUCUCUCAUUGAUUUAUGACAGCGCGAACAGAGGCAGCACCUUAUGGGGGUGGUUAACUGGAUACAUUAAAACCGUAGACAAGAUUUUUCCUCACAGGAGCGCUCGGCAGCUGCGGUGUGCGUUGACUUUUCGCCCUCCCACUUAUCACAGAGGAAAAGAGUCUUAUCUCCAAAAGACAAAAGGCAGCUGAGCAACUGUGGAACCACCACUAACCCCAUAAAAUGACAACGAGGGUGCUGGUUCAGAGACAAGUUUCUCAAGAGCCAGAGACCCUUGGGUUCUAACCAAACACCUUCCUCCACAGGGUCACCUGAACUAGCUCCUCAAGUAGUCUCUUCAGCCUCUUCUAGCUUUAGAUUCCUUAGCUUUAGAACGUGAGGAGAUUCUAGAAGUCGUCAAUGACAACCAUGCUGACUUAAGUAAAAUCAUUCUUAAAUAUUAUUGUGCCUGGCAAUAGCAAAUCAUCGGUCAUUAUCUCACCAUUCAUGGGAUCGAACCCUG